CGCCUGGGGAGUACGGCCGCAAGGUUAAAACUCAAAUGAAUUGACGGGGGCCCGCACAAGCGGUGGAGCAUGUGGUUUAAUUCGACGCAACGCGAAGAACCUUACCUGGCCUUGACAUCCAGAGAACUUUCCAGAGAUGGAUUGGUGCCUUCGGGAACUCUGAGACAGGUGCUGCAUGGCCGUCGUCAGCUCGUGUCGUGAGAUGUUGGGUUAAGUCCCGUAACGAGCGCAACCCCUAUCCCUGGUUGCUAGCAGGUAAUGCUGAGAACUCCAGGGAGACUGCCGGUGACAAACCGGAGGGAGGUGGGGAUGACGUCAGGUCAUCAUGGCCCUUACGGCCAGGGCUACACACGUGCUACAAUGGCGCGUACAGAGGGCUGCCAACUCGCGAGAGUGAGCCAAUCCCUUAAAACGCGUCGUAGUCCGGAUCGGAGUCUGCAACUCGACUCCGUGAAGUCGGAAUCGCUAGUAAUCGCGAAUCAGAAUGUCGCGGUGAAUACGUUCCCGGGCCUUGUGCACACCGCCCGUCACACCAUGGGAGUGGAUUGCACCAGAAGUAGUUAGUCUAACCAUCGGGAGGACGAUUACCACGGUGUGGUUCAUGACUGGGGUGAAGUCGUAACAAGGUAACCGUA
rnacentral:rRNA from 1 species